CGCGUAGGCGGGCUUGCCGGUCCGGGGUGAAAGCCCCCAGCUCAACUGGGGAAGCGCCUUGGAUACCGCAAGCCUGGAGGGAGGUAGGGGCGUGCGGAACUUCCGGUGGAGCGGUGAAAUGCGUAGAUAUCGGAAGGAACACCGGUGGCGAAAGCGGCGCGCUGGACCUCUUCUGACGCUGAGGCGCGAAAGCCAGGGGAGCAAACG
rnacentral:rRNA from 1 species